UACGUAGGGUGCGAGCGUUGUCCGGAAUUAUUGGGCGUAAAGAGCUCGUAGGCGGUUUGUCGCGUCUGCCGUGAAAGUCCGGGGCUCAACUCCGGAUCUGCGGUGGGUACGGGCAGACUAGAGUGAUGUAGGGGAGACUGGAAUUCCUGGUGUAGCGGUGAAAUGCGCAGAUAUCAGGAGGAACACCGAUGGCGAAGGCAGGUCUCUGGGCAUUAACUGACGCUGAGGAUCGAAAGCAUGGGGAGCGAACAGG
rnacentral:rRNA from 1 species